rnacentral:rRNA from 1 species
UACGUAGGGGGCUAGCGUUGUCCGGAAUCAUUGGGCGUAAAGAGCGUGUAGGCGGCCCGGUAAGUCCGCUGUAAAAGUCAAAGGCUCAACCUUUGAAUGUCAGUGGAUACUGCCGGGCUAGAGUCCGGAAGAGGCGAGUGGAACUCCUGGUGUAGCGGUGGAAUGCGCAGAUAUCAGGAGGAACACCUAUAGCGAAGGCAGCUUGCUGGGACGUUACUGACGCAAAGGCGCGAAAGCGUGGGGAGCGAACAGG